CCUCGGGGACUGAUGCAGAGGCGUAGCCAGGCCAUUGGGAUGGGGUGGGCUGUGUUUCCCUGAUCGACUUUGUGAACCAUUGUUUCCCGGCAAAGGAGAGAUCAUGGCUUCUCGUGAGGCCUCCCAGGCCCCACUGGAAUUCGGGGGGCCGUUGGGUAAAUGGGAAGGUUCGGGGAGGUGGCUGAACCGAUGCUACUUAACGGGAGUAGGGUAGGAUACGAGCGGUCUAGAAGGCUUUUGGGAAGUCUGGCAGAAGGAUCCGGUGCGCGGGUGGCGGGGUGUCUGCGGGAGAGGAAGGACUGUGUGCUGACGGCUGCACAGCAGGGAGUUUGUGUAAUGAAAGACAGUUGGCAGAGCAGGAUGGUCUUUGGGAAUGCCAGAGGUAAGAGGACCAAGAAGAAAAUCAGGGUAGGAAUAUGGCGCUGGGAACUCGCUAAGCAGGCAGGUGACUCAAGGCGCCUGUGGACUUGAGAGCGCUCUGGGGAGCAGUCACGCGACACAGUGGCCCUCUUCCCAGGCGUCACGGCGAUGCUGAUCCUGCUGCCUGCCACCAUGUUCCACCUGCUUCUGGCGGCCCGCUCGGGUCCGGCGCGCCUCCUGGCC
rnacentral:lncRNA from 1 species